UCAGGUACUCCCUGGAGAGAAUUUGAGGACUUCAGGUGCUCCCUGGAGAAGGUACUGGGGUUCAGGUGCUCCCUGGAGUGGAUCUGAAGAUGUUGCGUGCUCCCUGGAGAGGAUUUGGGGGCUCGGGUGCUCCCUGGAGAAGGUUUGGAGGUUCAGGAGCUCCCUGGAGAGGAUUUGAGGAAUUCAGGUGCUCCCUGGAGAGGUUUGGGGGCUCAGGUGCUCCCUGAAGAAGGUUUGGGGGUUCCCCUGCUCCGUGGAGAGGAUUUGGGGGCUCAGGUGCUCCCUGGAGAAGGUUUGGGGUUCCAGAUGCUCCCUGGAGAGGAUUUGGGGGUUCAGGUUCUCCCUGGAGAGUUUCAGGGGUUCAGGUGCUCCGUGGAGAGGAUUUGAAGACUUCAGGCUCUCCCUGGAGAAGGUUUGGAGGUUCAGGAGCUCCUUGGAGAGAAUUUGAGGACUUCAGGUGCUCCCUGCAGUGGAUCUGAAGAUGUUGGGUACUCCCUGGAGAAGGUUUGGGGCUUCAGGCUCUCCCUGGAGGAGGUUUGGGGGUUCAGGAGCUCCCUGGAGAAGGUUUGUUGGGGGGUUCAGGUGCUCCCUGGAGAGGUUCAGGAGCUCUGUGCCCUGCUCUGGGGCUCGCUGGGCAGGGAGUGCCCAGCCUGGUGCCCGCUCUGGCCAGGCAGCUGCUGGUGGGUGGCAAAUCCUGCCCGGGCAGUGCCGAGGCCACCGAGUGCCCACAGGAGCUCUGGGUGCCCAAAAGAUCUCUCUUGUGCCCUCAGGAGCUCUGGGUGGUGCCAACAGGAGCUCUGGGUGCCCUCAGGAGCUCUCUUGGUGCCCAAAAGAUCUCUCUUGUGCCCUCAGGUGCUCUGGGUGGUGCCAGCCCCAGCUGAGGUGCCCAGAGGAGCUGUGGGUGGUGCCAGCCCCAGGUGAGGUGCCCUCAGGAGCUGUGGGUGGUGCCAGCCCCAGCUGAGGUGCCCAGAGGAGCUGUGGGUGGUGCCAGCCCCAGCUGAGGUGCCCAGAGGAGCUGUGGGUGGUGCCAGCCCCAGGUGAGGUGCCCUCAGGAGCUGUGGGUGGUGCCA